GCUUAACGCGAAGAACCUUACCUAGACUUGACAUCCCCUGAAUUACCUGUAAUGAGGGAAGCCCUUCGGGGCAGGGAGACAGGUGGUGCAUGGUUGUCGUCAGCUCGUGUCGUGAGAUGUUGGGUUAAGUCCCGCACGAGCGCAACCCUUAUCAUUAGUUGCUACCAUUAAGUUGAGCACUCUAGUGAGACUGCCCGGGUUAACCGGGAGGAAGGUGGGGAUGACGUCAAAUCAUCAUGCCCCUUAUGUCUAGGGCUACACACGUGCUACAAUGGUUGGUACAAUAAGAUGCAAUACCGCGAGGUGGAGCUAAACUUAUAAAACCAAUCCCAGUUCAGAUUGUAGGCUGAAACUCGCCUACAUGAAGCCGGAGUUGCUAGUAAUCGCGAAUCAGCAUGUCGCGGUGAAUACGUUCCCGG
rnacentral:rRNA from 1 species